rnacentral:rRNA from 1 species
CUAGCCGUAAACGAUGGAUACUAGGCGUUGAGAGGAUCGACCCUCGCAGUGCCGUAGCUAACGCGUUAAGUAUCCCGCCUGGGGAGUACGCGCGCAAGCGUGAAACUCAAAGGAAUUGACGGGGGCCCGCACAAGCGGUGGAGUAUGUGGUUUAAUUCGAUGCAACGCGAAGAACCUUACCAGGGCUUGACAUGUCCGGAACCCUGCCCAAAGGUGGGGGUGCCUACGGGAGCCAGAACACAGGUGGUGC